AUGAACGCUAGCGACGGGCCUAACACAUGCAAGUCGAGGGGCAGCACAAGGAGCAAUCUGAGGUGGCGACCGGCGCACGGGUGAGUAACACGUAUGCAACCUGCCUGUAAGCGGGGAAUAACCCGUUGAAAGACGGACUAAUACCGCAUAAUGCUAAAUUACUGCAUGGUAAUUUAUUUAAACAUUUAUGGCUUACAGAUGGGCAUGCGCAUGAUUAGCUAGUUGGAGAGGUAACGGCUCCCCAAGGCAACGAUCAUUAGGGGUUCUGAGAGGAAGGUCCCCCACACUGGUACUGAGACACGGACCAGACUCCUACGGGAGGCAGCAGUGAGGAAUAUUGGUCAAUGGACGAGAGUCUGAACCAGCCAAGUCGCGUGCAGGAAGAAUGUCCUUAAUGGAUUGUAAACUGCUUUUGCAGGGGAAUAAAGUGCAUCACGUGUGAUGUUUUGUAUGUACUCUGCGAAUAAGGAUCGGCUAACUCCGUGCCAGCCGCAGC
rnacentral:rRNA from 1 species